rnacentral:rRNA from 1 species
UGGGGAAUAUUGCACAAUGGGCGCAAGCCUGAUGCAGCCAUGCCGCGUGUAUGAAGAAGGCCUUCGGGUUGUAAAGUACUUUCAGCGAGGAGGAAGGCGGUAAGGUUAAUAACCUUAUCGAUUGACGUUACUCGCAGAAGAAGCACCGGCUAACUCCGUGACAGCAGCCGCGGUAAUACGGAGGGUGCAAGCGUUAAUCGGAAUUACUGGGCGUAAAGCGCACGCAGGCGGUCUGUCAAGUCGGAUGUGAAAUCCCCGGGCUCAACCUGGGAACUGCAUUCGAAACUGGCAGGCUAGAGUCUUGUAGAGGGGGGUAGAAUUCCAGGUGUAGCGGUGAAAUGCGUAGAGAUCUGGAGGAAUACCGGUGGCGAAGGCGGCCCCCUGGACAAAGACUGACGCUCAGGUGCGAAAGCGUGGGGAGCAAACA